GCCACAUGAUGAGUUUGAGUAGCGUCAGCAGCUCUCGGGCCAUGAUGACCUGCUAUCUAUCACCCCUUACUGAUGGCU